UAUAACAAAAAUCCUUCUUUAAUUCACCGCUUUCGUGAACAUUUUUAUUUUUCCAAAAGAAUUUGCUUCUGGAAGGAUUUCAAAGGUAUUUCGAAAAUGAUCGAAAAAGAGUUAAUAUCGAAGUAUCGAAAAUUCGGGUAAUGCGAUGUUUAGUGCACUCGAAAUAUUAAACGCGAUAUCGCAUUAAAGUAUCGAAAUUCGCAACAUUAUGCGCACUCUGUCGGAACUCGUAACGUUGGGAGUACUCUAAAUAUCGAAUCGUUUAGUAUCGAAACAUACGAUAUCGCGUGUCUCACGGUGAACUCGGGAGGUAACACAAUAUAUGCGAUGACCGGUGAAUUAAACGAGUUAAUAUUGUGCUGAAUGGUUUGAAGUUAUAAAAAAGAUGAUCUUUCAAAAUUGUAACAACGACAGAAAGAUAAGUUUCUUGAUGCAUUUCACCUAUUUCAUCCUUUUCGACCCACACCGUUCAUUCCGCAUCGAUUCGUCGAAGUUAGAACGUUCAUUCCGUUCCACUAAGUAGAAAGGCGAGCGAUAAAAUAAAAGGGACCUUAGAUGACGGCGGAAACAAAUAUUUUUCGUCAAGUGCGCAGGCGCGGAAGAAAUUAUAUUCUUGGAUCUUGUACCAGCAGGGGAUUGUCAGAAUUUAAUCAAAGAUGUACAGAAAUAUUUUCUAUGGGCUGUUGAUUAGUGUAACGUCAAAAAUAAAUCUAUCUCGUAAUCAUGAAAGACUUUCUCACUGCCUAUGGCUGGUGGUGAUGGGUCGAUUAUUUCAGGAAGCGUUAUACGUUUAUAAAGGUACAAAUAAGUUAUGAGAUAUAAUAUCUGUUUCUGAUUUUAGAUCUACGGACGAGGAAUCGGGUGAAUAAAUUGAUUCUGAGGAAUAAACCAGUGGAGUGAUAAAAUGGCGGUACAGUGGUACAGGGGAUUAAGAAUAUGGAAAUUUGGGAAACUUUUUUUCCUAAACACUGUACCCAUUUGAAAAUCUACAAGAACACCCCAUCAGCCAGGUAGCUACAUCUGUCGCAAUCUCCCAGGACAAGCCUUUCCAGGACUUUCAAGUGCGUUGCAUUCCAACCUCUUUAGAAAGGCCUCUCGUUGAUUUGCAUUUUUGGCAUAGUUGUGAUAACACGGUUUACCGUUUGCCGGAGAACGAACCAGCUGGAGAGAGAAGGAAAAUGGCAAGAAGAAGAAGGUAGAGAGAAAGAGAAAGAAAGAGAGAGAGGAGGGAGAGAAUGAGAGGAAAGAGAAGUAACAGGAGAGGGAGGACCCAGCUGAAAGUCACGGUUGUAAAUCACUUAUCAUGAAACUCCAAGUCGCUUGUCGCUUCCUGUACUACUUUACAGAUCUCUUUCCUCCCUUUCUUCCUUUCCACCUUAUUAGCAAACGCCAUGGACACAAGGAAGUCCCGUUUUGUGCUUUUGCUUCUGGUCUACACUGUAUUACGAGCUCGUUCAUUUGCAUAUUUCUUUUUUUUUUAAUUCCUGCAGAAAACACUAAACGAUCGGAAGCCGAAUCGCUUAUCUGUCCAGAUAUUUCCUGCUACUUCCUGCACCGUUUCUUUUCAUACAUUCAAUUACAACUCGCCUCAAAUUUUGAGGUUAGAAAAUU
rnacentral:lncRNA from 1 species